ensembl:lncRNA
AUGGCUCAAACUGAGAUGUUGGAGUUUGACGUGGAGCAGGGACAGAUGCUGCAGGUCUUGAUGCGGCACUGUCAGACCAUGAAGCGUCAGGAGACACGACUGCGCGCGGCCACUGCGGUGAUGCUUGCAACGUUCUUCGCGACUUUGGUGUGGCUACAAUAUCCCCAUCAAAAUACUACGGAGGCAUUCUCAGUUGCCCAUCAAGAGCAUUUGAAAACUGAAGAACCACCACUAGGACACUCUGUUCAUCUUGAACCUGUAAGACAGAUUGAUGCUUGUUCUGAACAACAGCCCAUCGAGUGGAUGAAUGUGGAUGAUGGUUAUGACUCACAAAAUUUCAAGCUGGAAAACCAAACAGUCCUGCACAUCUUCACAAAGGGCCUCUACUUGAUCAAUCUGAGGAUCUCUUACCGUACAGCCCAUGGUCAGUGUGAGCCUAGUACAGAGCAUUUUACUUUAGUGGUCAUUGUCACACAGCAGCAUAGAAACUAUGAGAGAGAGAUAGAGAUUAUACGUGCUAUAGAGUCUAUGACUUGUAGAGAUUAUUGGCUGCAGUCAAUCACGUUGAAUCGAGCAAUCAUGUUAGAAGCUGGUACUAGUCUCAGGGUGAGAAUUAACCAGGAAAGUUGCAAGUUUGUUAGCUGGGUUAAAAACAGUCAUUUGGAUGUCUCACCUCUAGCAUUGGCUGUUUUUUAA